rnacentral:rRNA from 1 species
GUCCGGACGACUUCGAGAGAUCGAUUUCUUCCCUUCGGGGACUGGAACACAGGUGCUGCAUGGCUGUCGUCAGCUCGUGUCGUGAGAUGUUGGGUUAAGUCCCGCAACGAGCGCAACCCUCGCCUUUAGUUACCAUCAUUUAGUUGGGUACUCUAAAGGAACCGCCGGUGAUAAGCCGGAGGAAGGUGGGGAUGACGUCAAGUCCUCAUGGCCCUUACGCGCUGGGCUACACACGUGCUACAAUGGCAGGUACAGUGGGCAGCAAUCCCGCGAGGGUGAGCUAAUCUCCAAAAACCUGUCUCAGUUCGGAUUGUUCUCUGCAACUCGAGAGCAUGAAGGCGGAAUCGCUAGUAAUCGCGGAUCAGCAUGCCGCGGUGAAUACGUUCCCAGGCCUUGUACACACCGCCCGUCACACCAUGGGAGUUGGAUUCACCCGAAGGCGUUGCGCCAACCCAGCAAUGGGAAGCAGGCGACCACGGUGGGUUCAGCGACUGGGGUGAAGUCGUAACAAGGUAGGCGUAGACGU